rnacentral:rRNA from 1 species
UACGGAGGGGACUAGCGUUGUUCGGAAUUACUGGGCGUAAAGCGCACGUAGGCGGAUUUGUAAGUCAGGGGUGAAAUCCCGGGGCUCAACCUCGGAACUGCCUUUGAUACUGCAAAUCUCGAGUCCGGAAGAGGUGAGUGGAAUUCCUAGUGUAGCGGUGAAAUGCGUAGAUAUUGGGAGGAACACCAGUGGCGAAGGCGGCUCACUGGACCGGUACUGACGCUGAGGCGCGAAGGCCAGGGGGAGCAAAGCGGGAUUAAGCAAACCCGUGUAACG